AUUGAACGCUGGCGGCAUGCUUUACACAUGCAAGUCGAACGGCAGCGCGGGCUUCGGCCUGGCGGCGAGUGGCGAACGGGUGGGUAAUACAUCGGAACGUGCCCAGUAGUGGGGGAUAGCUCGGCGAAAGCCGGAUUAAUACCGCAUACGACCUGAGGGUGAAAGCGGGGGAUCUUCGGACCUCGCGCUAUUGGAGCGGCCGAUGGCAGAUUAGCUAGUUGGUGGGGUAAAGGCCUACCAAGGCGACGAUCUGUAGCUGGUCUGAGAGGACGACCAGCCACACUGGGACUGAGACACGGCCCAGACUCCUACGGGAGGCAGCAGUAGGGAAUUUUGGACAAUGGGCGAAAGCCUGAUCCAGCAAUGCCGCGUGUGUGAUGAAGGCCUUCGGGUUGUAAAGCACUUUUGGCGGGAACGAAAAGGACUGUGCCAAUACCACGGUUCGAUGACGGUACCCGCAGAAUAAGCACCGGCUAACUACGUG
rnacentral:rRNA from 1 species